ensembl:lncRNA
UAAAAGAAGAAGAAAGGAGCGCAGAGCUGGAGUUAGCAGGGUGUCAUCGAGCUCUGUUGCCAUGGACGACCAUGCUGACGUUGCCAUGGAGAACAAGACAGAGGUCCCGGCCUCUGACGCACCGUCCUCUCCUGACAAAGAGCAGGCAAAGCCCGCUGCGCGUCAGUCACACCGCCGCACAUUAGGGAGGAGGGGCCAGAGAGCAAAGAGGCGGGGUCUUAUAGAGAAGAAGCGGGGUCAGAAAUCGAAGAGGCGGGGCCAGGAGGACAAGAAGGAGGGCGUGACGGUGAAGAGGACGUGGAGCGGCGGGAAGCGCCGUUGGGACAAGAAGCAUUACUGCGUGUUCUGCCGACGGCCACAGGUGAAGAUCGCACGCCACCUGCUGAGGAAGCAUGCCGACGAACAGGAAGUACUGGCUGCCAGCACCCUGCCGACAGGCUCCAAAGAACGCCACCUGCUGCUGGAGCACCUGCGCUGCCGAGGCAACUAUCUACACAACAUCGAGGUGAUCCGGCAGGGCACUGGUGAGAUUGUGCCAUGGCGUCAGCCCUCUGAGGAUGUGGAUGCGAGGAACUACCUGCCAUGCCCAUUGUGUCUUGGAUUUUUCCUUCGUGCUGACCUGUGGAAGCAUCAGGUGUCGUGUCGCAAGAAGCUCGCUAUUAACCCGUCCAAAGCCGAAGCGAACGCUGACCCCGCCAACGACGCCACCUCUGGUUCCACAAGUGUUGAUCAAAACACGACCUCUGACCCCGCUGUGAACCGAGCCAGGAAACGGACCAGAGUGCAGGCAGCAGCGUCGCGGCUCCUGCCCAUCUCCAGUGGAGCGUCUGAGAGCUGCAGUGAAAUCCUGCAUCGCAUGAACCAAGAUAAUGUGUCUUACGAGGUGAAGUCUGAUUGGCUGAUCUGUAAGUAUGGCAACAAGCUGAUGGGGAACCAGGAUAGUGGUCAGAGGAGGUACGACUACGUAAGCCAAAAGCUCCGGGAACUUGGCAGGUUGCUCCUGGCCGCUAAAUCCCUUGACUCCGGCAUCCAGAGCCUGCAGGACCUGCUGGCCCCAGGCCGCCUUAGCCUGGCGCUGUCCGCAGCCAGGAAGGCAGCGGGAAACAGGUGGAGCCGCCCUCCACUGGCGGUGAAAACAACACUAAAGACAGUCUGUGAGAUUGCUAUUGGAGAGAGCCUGCAGGAUGGAGACUGGGAGGCUGCCGCCAAGACCACCGACUUCUACCACAUGCUGGGCCGGGAGUGGGACAACCUGGGGCUGCAGAACCCAGAUCCAGCUGCUACAGAUGGAGGAACUAAACCAAAGAAACGACCUGUCCAGAUAAGACUGGACAAGGACCUCAGACAAGAAGUUCUGUCAAAGUGUUCUAACAAACCAGUGACCUCUGCGAUUCCACCUGAAGCCAGAAUGCAGACAUCUGUCUCAGUCCCUGUGGCUCCCAGGAAGGUCCGACGGCGGCCCUGGUCCUCUGCAGAGAAGGAGGCCAUCUGGAGGCAGUUAGGAGUCCAUGUUCUGGUCCAGUCCGUACCAGGUAAGGAGGUCUGUCAGCGCUGUCUGGACUUGGAACCUGUCCUCAGGGGGCGGCACUGGAAGGACAUCAAGAACCAGGUCCACAACCAAAUCCAGAGCCAAAAGAAGCAGCAGUUCCACGCUCAGAUGGAACUCGAGAAGAACCAGGAUCACCAAGACCAGCUCCAGAACCAGAAAAAGCCAGAGCAGCAGCAGUACCAGGCUCCAGUCGAUGAACAGGGAAAGGACCACCGUCUGAACCAGAAGAAACCACCAUACCAGUCCCAGAUGGACCAGCAUGAUCCGGAUAUUUCUCGGAAUCAGAAGAGAUCACAAUACCACAUCAACAUACACCACCAGGCCCAGGAUAGCAUCCAGAACCAGAAGAAACAACAGGAGCACACCCAGCUGGAUCACCAGGACUAUCUACACAACCACAAGAAGCAGCUGUGUACCCCUAGAGUGGACCACCAGGACCACAGCCAGGUCCAUAAGAAGCAGCUGUAUCAGAUGGACCAGCAGGCCCAGCCUCUGCAGACCCUGGACCAGGAAACAUCUCUUCUAACCAUCGCACCCUACAGACCUGAUGGGUCAAAUCGAGCCCCUGGACAUUUGCUGCUUGAGCGGGAGCACAACAUUACAACCUACCCAGUUCUGCACAGACCACCAGGACCUCACAUGGACCAGCUGCUGCCCAGAAUAGACUGGGCCGAGGAUGCUCCAGCCCAGAACUAUCCUAUCAGCAGGCCACUGGGCAGGAACCUGCUACAGGAUGUGCCCCCAGGAGGACCACCCUCUGACCCACAGUCGGGACAUGUACACUUCUGACCGACCAGGACGAGCGAUGGACGGUCCUGGUCCAGGUCUAGAGGACUUAAUGAUAGGUUGGCCCUUCUCAAAGGGUGCAUAUCAGAUUUGGUAGUAAAAAGACCUGCUUUUAUGAUAACACAUGUAAACCUUUCUUAGAAGGUCCUUGAAUUUCCUGUGUGAAAUGAGUAUUUGCCUCCUACAGGACUAUAUACCCCAUAUUAUAUACCCCCCUGUAUGUUCUGGCAGUUCCAAUGGAUCUGGUUCUGAUAUGUCAGUCUAGUCAGGAGAUCAACCUGGAUCCUGGUUGAGGUGCUGUUAGAUAGGUGAAACAGUUCAGCUGUGAUGCACCUGAGUUAUACCGACUACGUGCCAGUUCCUGAUCUUAUUAUAAAAGGCGGGUACCAAAAACCAAAACCAGCACCUUAGUGGUCCAGUGUUGGAGCCUUUGAAGAUACCUGUUCUGGGAGGAGCUCCUGCUGAAAGAUCACGGAUGGUAGUGUCAGUCAUCAGAUACUGUCUUCCAUAAUCGGAAUUUACCGGAAUUUAUUUCAUAUGAACCAGCCCACAGCUCUACUUCUUAAACCUGUAGAACUGUGGGCUGGUUCUCUGAAGGCACUGAGGCAGAACCAGCUCUGUGUUGGUGUGAAAGAGCUAAUGAAGGGAUCAAGGCCCUUUUCCCUCAUUUAGUCAUAAAGGUGUUCAAAGUUCUCUGUAUGUUUAGCGUAUGGUUCUCCUCACACUCCUCUGUGUGAUGAGCACUGGGGCACAACCCCUGACAGUGAGGCCAAACAGACUCCUCCAGGUGGUUCUAAAUGGUUCCUGCAGGUCCCUGUGAGUCCUGGUCUGUGGUGGUCCUGUGAUGGUACCACUGCAUCCUCAAACAUAACAAGUUGUCAUGUCACAGGUUUAUUCCAAAAUGGAUGAAAUUCAUUUUGACCUCAGUAUUCUACACACAGUACUCCAAAAAGGUUUGCUUAAAAUUCUUAAAAGAUUCAUUAAAACAUUAAAGAGAAAAAUAUAACACAUGCACAGGUAUUCUCAGCCUUUGUUAAAUACGUUGUUGAAGCACUUUUUGGCAGCAGUUACAGAAGAUGAACCUUCGCCCAAGUUCAAUGUCCAGCGCACUUUUGGACCAGGUUAUGUCUCUGUACAUUCAUCUUUUCCUUCAGAGGCCUUUGGGCAAACUCCAGGUGGGCUGUCGUAGCCUGGUUUCCUUACAGGGGUCCCCAAUCCCAGUCCACGAGGGCCGGUGUCCCUGCAGGUUUCAGAUGUGUGCUUGAUCCAUCACAGCUGAGUUAAAUGUAAAUUACAUUUUCAACAUGCCUUGGGCCUGGUAAUGAACUAAUCAUGUGAUUCAGGUGUGUUGACCCAGGGUGAGAUCUAAAACCUGCAGGGACACCGGCCCUCGUGGACUGGGAUUGGGGACCCCUGCUUUAGCACCUACUCGCCUGAGCCCGCGUUUGUUUGUGUCAUGUUCUAUUACAUUUGAGUUCCACCUCAAUAUGUGUGGGGUUGUCAUAGGAACACAACCAAAAUCCCAUGUGUCUAUGUGCCACAAACACAAUGGAGGACACUGAGGCGAUGGUAUACCCGCUGCUUGGUCUGUGGGUGUUUGUCAGACUCGAGGACCAUGAUUGUCAGUUUGUAUGUAACCAUUUCCCUUGUUGCCGAGUUUCAGAAAUGCCAGGUUUCAUCUAACUCGUGAUUCAUCUAAUGACACCUCUGGCUGGCCAGUCGGGGGCUUUUGAUGUCACAUUUUUAGACUGACUCUGCUCGGUUGGAAAGCCGGGCCAGCAUUUGCUAAAAAAGUACCUGGUACCAGGUACUACUCCCUGAUGGAAAACCAUAGAAACUAGGUUGAGCUCAGCCGAGUAGGUACUAGAUGAGGGGCGCAGAAGAUUGCCCAGAUUGCCAGACCAGAUUGGUCUCUAGGAAGAGACCCGGUGGUUCCAAAACUUCCUGUAUGGAUGGUGGAAGCCACUGUGCUCACUGGGUACGUCAGUGCUGAUCCCUGGAUCUGUGCCUCCAUACAGUCCCGCCUACAGACCUGCCUCUGACUUUGUGCUCUGUCAGUUAUGGGAGCUUAUACAGACAGGUGUGUGCCUUUCCAAAUAACGACCAGUCAGCUGAAAGGUGGACUCCAGGCGUGUUGUAGAAAUAUCUGACAGACGAUCAGUGUGCACAGCUGAACAAACAUGUGAGUGUCUGGGCUGUGAGUACUUCUGUCCAUGUUAUACUUUAGUUUUUUAUUUUCAGUGCAUGCACAAGAAUGUCAGCUGACUGUGUGCAGAGACUGUUUACUGUACUGUGUGCAGAGGUGAAAAUGAAUGUCAUGUUGGAAUAAGACUGUAACGUGACAACACGAGGAACACUGAAUGCUUCCAGGAUGAUCAUAGAUGAGAUCAUCUAUGAUGUUUCUGUGUCUCCUGCUCGUCUCCCUUUAAUCUGUGUUCAUCCACCCCUCAGUGUUUCUGCUGUCCUCUCCACUUCUUCAUGUCCCUGCAACUUCACUUUAUCACCACUAGAUGGCAGACCUCUCCCUGUUUCUGGUCCCUGUUAGAGGAUAAGAACAUGUUACAGUCCAGACUGCGAGCUGCUGCUUUUUCCUCCACAUGUCGCAUUUCUGAUGUCCUGUAGAGUCGCUGAUCCACAGGUGAUCGAUCCACAGCUGUGGCCUGCAGGAGGAACAUCAGCUCAGACACUGAAUGGCAGCAGGAGGCUCUGUGUGUGUUUAAUGUGUAAUAAAAGUGUCUGUAACUGUCUGUAUCCUGUGAUGGAGCCCUGUCAUACUCGGUCCUUUUAUUUCAUUAUAUCUGUUUCAAUAAACGAGUCCC